rnacentral:rRNA from 1 species
AUUGAACGCUGGCGGCAGGCCUAACACAUGCAAGUCGAACGGUAACAGGAAGAAGCUUGCUUCUUUGCUGACGAGUGGCGGCCGUGUGAGUAAUGUCUGGGAAACUGCCUUAUGGAGGGGGAUAACUACUGGAAACGGUAGCUAAUACCGCAUAACUUCUCAAGACCAAAAAGGGGGACCUUCGGGCCUCUUGCCAUCGGAUGUGCCCUGAUGGGAUUAGCUAGUAGGUGGGGUAACGGCUCACCUAGGCGACGAUCCCUAGCUGGUCUGAGAGGAUGACCAGCCACACUGGAACUGAGACACGGUCCAGACUCCUACGGGAGGCAGCAGUGGGGAAUAUUGAGCAAUGGGCGAAAGCCUGAUGCAGCCAUGCCGCGUGUAUGAAGAAGGCCUUCGGGUUGUAAAGUACUUUCAGCGGGGAAGAAGGGAGUAAAGUUAAUACCUGUGCUCAUUGACGUUACCCGCAGAAGAAGCAACGGCUAACUACGUG